GAGUUUGAUCCUGGCUCAGGAUGAACGCUGGCGGCGUGCCUAAUACAUGCAAGUCGAGCGGUAAGGUCCCUUCGGGGAUACACGAGCGGCGGACGGCAGAGUAACGCGUAGGAAUGUACCCCAAAGUAGAGGGAGUAAGACACCAGAAAUAGGUGGUCUAAUACCGCAUGUGGUCUUCGGAGUUAAAGUACUUUAUUGCGCUUUGGGUAACGAGCCUCGCGUCUGAUUAGUUAGUUGGUGAGGUAAUAGCUCACCAAGACAAUGAUCGGUAGGCUGGUCUGAGAGGAUGAUCAGCCUGACUGGAACUGAGACACGGUCCAGACUCCUACGGGAGGGCAGCAGUAGGGAAUUUUCCUACCAAAUGGGGGCGAACCCUGAUGGAGCAACGCCGCGUGCAGGAUGAAGGCC
rnacentral:rRNA from 1 species